CCUACGGGAGGCAGCAGUGAGGAAUAUUGGUCAAUGGGCGGGAGCCUGAACCAGCCAAGCCGCGUGAGGGAAGAAGGUACAGCGUAUCGUAAACCUCUUUUGUCAGGGAACAAAGGCGGGGACUAGUCCCCGGAUGAGGGUACCUGAAGAAAAAGCAUCGGCUAACUCCGUGCCAGCAGCCGCGGUAAUACGGAGGAUGCGAGCGUUAUCCGGAUUUAUGGGGGUCAAAGGGUGCGCAGGCGGCCUGUUAAGUCAGCGGUAAAAGCCCGGGGCUCAACCCCGGCGAGCCGUUGAAACUGGCGGGCUGGAGUUGGAGAGAGGUACGCGGAAUGCGCGGUGUAGCGGUGAAAUGCUUAGAUAUCGCGCAGAACCCCGAUUGCGAAGGCAGCGUACCGGCUCCACACUGACGCUGAGGCACGAAAGCGUGGGUAUCGAACAGGAUUAGAUACCCCAGUAGUC
rnacentral:rRNA from 1 species